CGCACGGGUGAGUAACACGUGGAUAACCUGCCUCAAAGUGGGGAAUAACACCGGGAAACCGGUGCUAAUACCGCAUAUUCUGACGAAGUCUGCCGAUUUGGUCAGGAAAGGAGCAAUUCGCUAUGAGAGGGGUCCGCGGCUGAUUAGCUAGUUGGUGAGGUAAUGGCUCACCAAGGCUUCGAUCAGUAGCCGGUCUGAGAGGACGGUCGGCCACACUGGAACUGAGACACGGUCCAGACUCCUACGGGAGGCAGCAGUGGGGAAUUUUUCGCAAUGGGGGCAACCCUGACGAAGCAAUGCCGCGUGGAUGAUGAAGUAUCUCGGUACGUAAAAUCCUUUCGACGGGGACGAAACCGCAAGGUUGACGGUACCCGUAGAAGAAGCCCCGGCUAACUCCGUGCCAGCAGCCGCGGUAAUACGGGGGGGGCAAGCGUUGUUCGGAAUUACUGGGCGUAAAGGGUGCGUAGGCGGCUUUCUAAGUUGGAUGUGAAAACUCUGGGCUCAACCCAGAGCCUGCAUCCAAAACUGGAGAGCUAGGGUUCUGGAGGGGAAAGCGGAAUUCCUGGUGUAGCGGUGAAAUGCGUAGAUAUCAGGAGGAACACCGGUGGCG
rnacentral:rRNA from 1 species